rfam:Staphylococcus carnosus subsp. carnosus TM300 complete genome
GUUAAUGUGAUUAUUUUACCUAAGACAGUAGGAGUUAAGAAAUAACUUAAAAAUUAUAUCCUACCGAGGCUAAAAUUGACUUGAACGUGGUUUGUAAAAAACUUUCAAGCACUUUUUGCCGUGGGGUGAAAGUGCUUUUUUUAUUGGAUU